AGGAGUCCCACAGGGGCGACUUGAGAUCACAUGUGUGCACUCUCACCACAACCUAGAGUGAGAGUGAUGGUGUUAUUUUGCAUUACACGUGUUCUCAGGUCGCCCCUGCGGGGCUUCCUCUACCACAUAAUCGCGCUUAUAAAAUGAUAAGAUGAGCAAUGUAGAGAUGUAUGCAAGUUCCUAGCAUAAGCCAGCCACAACGGGUAGAGGAGUCCCAUAGGAGUGACCUGAGACCACAUGUGAACACCCUCACCACAAUCCUGAAGUGAGAGUACCUAAUCGUGUGUUCUCAGGUCGCCCCUGUAGGACUUUC
rnacentral:lncRNA from 1 species